rnacentral:rRNA from 1 species
UACGUAGGCAGCGAGCGUUGUUCGGAUUUACUGGGCGUAAAGGGUGUGUAGGCGGUCCUCUAAGUUUGGUGUGAAAUCUCCCGGCUCAACCGGGAGGGUGCGCCGAAAACUGGGGGGCUAGAGUGCGGGAUGGGUAAGUGGAAUUCCUGGUGUAGCGGUGAAAUGCGUAGAUAUCAGGAGGAACACCUGUGGUGUAGACGGCUUACUGGACCGCAACUGACGCUGAGACACGAAAGCGUGGGUAGCAAACAGG